rnacentral:rRNA from 1 species
GAUGAACGCUAGCUACAGGCUUAACACAUGCAAGUCGUGGGGCAUCAUGAUGUAGUAAUACAUUGAUGGCGACCGGCGCACGGGUGAGUAACGCGUAUCCAACCUACCCUCCACUCAAGUAUAGGCUUCCGAAAGGGAGAUUAAUCCUUGAUAUCGUCAUUCUCUCUCCUGUUAGAAUGAUAAAAGGACAUCGUUUCGGUAGAGGAUGGGGAUGCGUUCCAUUAGGUAGUAGGCGGUUUAACAGGCCACCUAGCCGAUGAUGGAUAGGGGUUCUGAGAGGAAUAUCCCCCACACUGGUACUGAGAUACGGACCAGACUCCUACGGGAGGCAGCAGUGAGGAAUAUUGGUCAAUGGGCGCAAGCCUGAACCAGCCAUGUAGCGUGAAGGAUGACGGUUUUUUUGAUUGUAAACUUCUUUUCUGUGCGAUUAAAGUGUGGCAUUUAUGCCAUAUUGCAGUAUCUCAGGAAUAAAGC